GAUGAACGCUGGCGGCGUGCCUAAUACAUGCAAGUCGAGCGAACAGACGCUUAGGUUUCUCCUCUUACGUUAGCGGCGAACGGGUGAGUAACACGUGGAUAACCUACCUAUGAUACUGGGAUAACUUCGGGAAACCGGCGCUAAUACCGCAUAAUAUAUUUAACCGCAUGGUUCAAUAGUUAAAGGCGGGUUUGCUGUCACUUGUAGAUGAAUCCGCGCCGCAUUUGCUAGUUGGCAAGGUAACGGCUUACCAAGGGGACGAUGCGUAGCCGCCAUGAGAGGGUGAUCGGCCACCCUGGAACUGAGACACGGUCCAGACUCCUACGGGAGGCAGCAGUAGGGAAUCGGCCGCAAUGGGCGAAAGCUUGACGGAGAAACGCCGCGGGAUGGAGGAAGGACGCCGGAUCGUAAAUCUCUGUUAUCAGGGAAGAACAAAUGUGUAAGUCACUCGGAGCGUCUUGACGGUAACGUACAAGAAAGCGACGGGUAAAUACGUG
rnacentral:rRNA from 1 species